UGCCUAUAAAUCAAUAAUACAACUUUCAGCAACGGAUCUCUUGGCUCUCGCAUCGAUGAAGAACGCAGCGAAUUGCGAUAAGUAAUGUGAAUUGCAGAAUUCAGUGAAUCAUCGAAUCUUUGAACGCACCUUGCGCUCUUUGGUAUUCCGAAGAGCAUGCCUGUUUGAGUGUCAUUAAAUUCUCAACCCACUACAUUUGUUUAUCAAGUGAAGUGCGUGUUGGAUGUGGGGGUUUUGCGGGCUUCAUUCAGUUGAAGUCGGCUCUCCUGAAAUGCAUUAGCGUGAAUCUUUGUUGAACCCGCUUCUAUUAGGUGUGAUAAUUAUCUACGCCUUUGAAAAAAGGGGGUUCAGCACUUGAGUUUGGCAACAAACUGAAGGUUCUGCUUCUAAUGGUCCAUUCAUUUGGACAAUACUUUGACAUUUG
rnacentral:rRNA from 1 species